rnacentral:lncRNA from 1 species
GGCAAACCUUCUAGAAGGUGGUUCUGUAAUUUAGGAGGAUGUAAAACGCUGGUAGGGACAGUAAUCUUCAUCACUGGGCUCCUCCUGUUUCUCCCCUGGGUUAUCCACUAAUAAUAAAAGCCAUUAAAACUCUUACAGUUAAUCGCCAGACAAUCCAGAUGAUGCUCCUGCUACAAUGACGCAAUGAUACCAACCCGUCUCUCAAGAACGCCCCCAAAAAUUAAAGUUUUCUUUUUCCAAGGUGCCCAUGCCACCCCCUGUGUCACGCCUGAAGUAGUUAUUGAGCCCAGUCCCAAGGCACAAGACCACUUGUGCCAGCAGCCAGCAGCGUGCAUCAGCAAGACAGCAGAAGCAGGAAGACAGCCUGCUGGAAGACACUUACCCUGGCCGGAAGACAUGUACCCCUGAAGAUGGAGAAAGAGGCCUUCCGGGUACUACGUAGCAGUCACGUCAGACCGGGACACUUCCUGUUUAGAGAGGACUAUAAAACUCCGGUCCGGUAAUCACUUGGGGCUGACGCCAUUUUAGGCCUCAUCCCGCCUGCACCCAGGCACUCAUUAAAACAGCGUGUUGCCCCACACUGCCUCGUGUUGUCUGUUGGUGCGCUCUCGGGGUUCAAACCGAUACAAGAACCUUUCAAAUGGUAGUAAGAUUAAAGGUUUUUACUAAGUUAUUAAUAACAAAAAAGGCACAGAUCUUAAAUGUGCAGUUAUGAAUUUUGGCAAUUGUAUACAUUCAUGUAAUCACUACCCACAACAAAAAUAGAAUGUUUCCACCACCACAAAAAGUUUGCAACACCCCUGUACCUCUUUCUAGUGCAUUUCCAAUCAUGUCCUCAUACCUACCUACCCCACAACCAUUUUUUAAUCU